CAUAGGGCUAAUAACUCUAGCUAGAUGAAUAAUUGCACUUCUUCUAUACCAUUCACACUUUUUUAAGUUACAACAAUAAUGAUUAAGUUAUAUUUUAACUUUGAUUUAUUUACUUAUUUCUUUCUAUUGCAUAAAACUUGAAAAAGCAAGGCAUGAAUCUAAAUCCAAAGAUGAAUCUUUGAGGAAGCUAGAAGAGAACAUAUAGAACCUUGAGAGCAGGGCAAAAGGCAAAGAUUAGAGUCAUAAAAAUCUACAUGAGAAGAUCAAAAAACUUGAAACAGAUUGAGUUGAAGGCAGCCAUCUACAACCAAUAUGAGAAGCAACUUUAGGAAUUAUCUGAGAGAUUGAAGGGGAGGGAAGAAGUCAAAGGGUUGGAGACCAAGCUCGUAGAAUAACAACACUCAAAAUUUGCAUAUUUUCAACAGAAUGUUUGUGUAUCUAACUCUAAAGUGUGAAUCAUUUAU